CAUAUACUUCCUCCGUCCCAAAAUUCUUGUCUUAAAUUUGUUUAGAUAUGAAUGUAUCUAGUCAUGUUUUAGUAUUUAGAUACAUUCAUUUUUAAAUAAAGCUAAGACAAGAAUUUUGGACAGAUGCACAUA
rnacentral:pre_miRNA from 1 species